AGCGAACGCUGGCGGCAGGCUUAACACAUGCAAGUCGAACGGGCGUAGCAAUACGUCAGUGGCAGACGGGUGAGUAACGCGUGGGAACGUACCUUUUGGUUCGGAACAACCCAGGGAAACUUGGGCUAAUACCGGAUAAGCCCUUACGGGGAAAGAUUUAUCGCCGAAAGAUCGGCCCGCGUCUGAUUAGCUAGUUGGUGAGGUAACGGCUCACCAAGGCGACGAUCAGUAGCUGGUCUGAGAGGAUGAUCAGCCACAUUGGGACUGAGACACGGCCCAAACUCCUACGGGAGGCAGCAGUGGGGAAUAUUGGACAAUGGGCGGCAAGCCUGAUCCAGCCAUGCCGCGUGAGUGAUGAAGGCCCUAGGGUUGUAAAGCUCUUUUGUGCGGGAAGAUAAUGACGGUACCGCAAGAAUAAGCCCCGCUACUUCGUGCCAGCAGCAGCCGCAGU
rnacentral:rRNA from 1 species